UAUAGGACAAAUAGACAUGCAUUAAACUACCUGGGGUGAUAGAAAAUGACAGUGGGUCUAUAUGGUCUAUUCUGUUGUCAGAGAGAUCAACAAACCUCAAAUAUUUCAUUCCUGUAAAAGUUGAAUUAUUUACUGAUGUGACCUUGUUUCCUUUUAAUAUAAGUUUGUCUAGUUUAGACAGACAUCGUAAGUUUGUUAUUUGUCUAAUACUAUUGUAGGAAAAAUCCAGGUUAACUAUUGUUUUGAAAGUGCAAAUAUUUAUUGGCAUUUUUGAAAGAAAUCCGUUUGCAUGUACGACCUCAAAAAACGACAAUGAAAGUGUGUUGGUGUUGGUAUUAUAUAGAACUGCUUUUCCAGUUCGACUUAAAUAUUCUACAUAAAGCUUUCCAACAAGAUGAUGCCAUAAUUGUAAAUUC
rnacentral:lncRNA from 1 species